rnacentral:rRNA from 1 species
AUUGAACGCUGGCGGCAUGCUUUACACAUGCAAGUCGAACGGCAGGGCGGGCUUCGGCCUGGCGGCGAGGGGCGAACGGGUGAGUAAUGCAUGUGAACGGGCCCAGUAGUGGGGGAUAGCCCGGGGAAAGGCGGAUUAAUACCGCAAACGACCUUAGGGUGAAAGCGGGGGAUGGAAAGGUCCGGCGGUAUUGGAUGGGCCCGUGGCGGAUGAGCUAGUUGGUGGGGUAAAGGCUUACCAAGGCGUCGAUGCGUAGCUGGUCUGAGGGGACGACCCGCCACACUGGGACUGAGAGACGGCCUAGACUCCUACGGGAGGCCCCAGUGGCGAAUUUUGGACACUGGGGGCAACCCUGAUCCAGCGAUGGAGCGUGGAUGAAGAAGGCCUUCGGGUUGUAAAACGCUUUUGUUGGGGAAGAACGCCUCUAGGCUAAUACCCCGGGGUGGUGACGGUACCGGCAGAAUAAGCACCGGCUAACUACGUG